UUCAUGAUCUGCCUGCCUCGGUCUCCCAAAGUGCUGGGAUUACAGGCGUGAGCCACCGCGCCCGGCCUACUAUUCUUAUUCUUGGUAAAUUGUUCUUAUUGCAGAUAUGUCUGUUCUUUAUAUCUAAGUUAAACAGCUUUUGGAAAACAGAAGACAUUCACCAGAUUGGAAUCAAGGAUACACCUUUUCAUGUAAGUGAAAUCAAAGAAGAUGAUUAAAAUAUCAGUGCCAAGGACAUAAGAAGACAGCACAUGAAGAUAUCUUCAAGAAGACAGCGUGGAAGAUGUAGCUUUGGUAAUUUAAAGAAAGUGGAAGACACAGAAACAGUUACGCGGUAAGUGCUGGUGUGAGGUAAUCAGGUAUGUACAGCCACUACUGAGAAGCAGUAAGAGCCCGUGGGAGACCAGGAGCACGGAUGUACAUUGUAUUUCUAUAAGACUUUGCUAUAGUAGUGAGAGUAGGGCUUCAAAUUUUAACAAGGACUAAUCGCAGAGGAUUUAAAAAUGCAGGCUGGGAAAUAUGAUCUACAUUUGAUAAAAAACCAAGACAUAGGUUAGUGCUUUUACAAAUGGAAAUAAUCUGGUGAUGAUGCUUUCUUAGGAAGAUUAAAUCUGAUUAGACUGUGUAGAAUGAGCUUGUAUAAGAGAGAAUACUGGAUCCAGAGAGAUGGCAAACAAUUUAUCAUAUCACUUCUACAUGCUGAGAUGAGGAUUUGGAUGGGAUGGAGACGAGAAAUGAAGACACAUAAAUAAUAUAUUCCUACACCAGUCAUAGAGAAAUCAUAUCCUAACCACCCAACCAAUUUUCUUUAGUCAUAACUAGGAAAGAUCAACCAAGAUCACUAAAUCGUUAGAAAAAAAAAAUCAAUAGUAGAGAAACAGACUGCUACACAAAAAGGAAUGAUUCAGGUAAUACCAAUAACAUAUUAAAAAACCUCUAAGAGAAUCCCUGUAAUUAGUAUUUUCAGAGAGAUUUGAGAAAAUAUUACAUUUGUAAAACAUGAACAUGGUACUAGGGAAAACCAGGCAGAGAACACCGUCCAUGUAUUAGGUUGUUCUCGCAUUGCUAUAAAGAAAUACCCGAGACUGGGUAAUUUAUAAAGAAGAGAGGUUUAACUGGCUUAUGGUUCUGCAGGUUAUACAGGAAGCAUGGUAUAGGCAUCUGCUCAGGGAGGCCUUAGGAAGCUUACAAUCAUGGUGGAAAGUGAAGGGGGAGCAGGCACAUCACAUGAUGAAAGCAGGAGUGAGUGAGAGAGAGAAGGGGGUAGGUGGAGGUGCCACACACUUUUAAACGAUCAGAACUCAGAAGAACUCACUCACUAUCACCAAGGCAUCACCAAGCCUGAGGGAUCCAUUCCCAUGACCCAGAAACCUCCCACCAGGUCCCAACUCUGGCAUUUGAGAUUACAAUUCGACAUGAGAUUUGGACAGGGACACAUAUUCAAUCUAUGUCAGUGCAUAUUCUUCACCUUCUCUCCUGUUCAGGGAUGAACUCUUAGCUAAAGUCUAGCCCUUCUGUUCAAAGAUGAACUCAUAGCUAAAAAAUGCAAGACAUCCCGUUAAGGGAUGAACUC